AUGUGCAUACAUGCAGGUGGUCGAGCGGUAAUCGAUGCUGUGCAGUGUAGCCUCAGCCUGCUUGAUGAGCAUGUUGAGCCAUCAAGGAUGACACUUCACAAGUUUGGGAACACAUCGAGUAGCUCGGUAUGGUACGAGCUGGCAUACAGUGAGGCCAAGGGUCGAAUGAGGAAAGGGGACCGAGUUUGGAUGAUUGGAUUUGGCUCUGGAUACAAGUGUAAUAGUGCAGUGUUAAAGUGCAUCCAGCCAGCAAAAAGUGCUGAUAAGGCAUGGCAAGAUUGCAUCAAUCGCUACCCAAUAGAUGUUCCUAAGGAGGUGUAG
rnacentral:rRNA from 1 species